UGCCUAGCAACUCCUAUCCCUACCUCCACGUGGUACCGGCCGGAAACUAUGAGCAACCUUAGGGAAGAUCGGGUAACCAACCCCGGUGGGAACUUUGGUCAUGGGCUGACAGGGAAGG
rnacentral:ribozyme from 1 species